rnacentral:rRNA from 1 species
AACGAACGCUGGCGGCACGUUUUAAGCAUGCAAGUCGAAUAGCAGCAGGGGCAACUCUGUGAGAAUGGCGAACGGGUGAGUAACACGUAGGUGAUCUGCCUUGAGGAUGGGGAUAGCCUGUGGAAACACAGGGUAAUACCGAAUAAGCUGACGGGACUUUGGUUUUGUUAGUAAAGGUGCUACGGCACCGCCUUGAGAGGAGCCUGCGGCUGAUUAGCUAGUUGGUGGGGUAAAGGCCUACCAAGGCGACGAUCAGUAGCCGGCCUGAGAGGGUGUACGCCACACUGGGACUGAGACACGGCCCAGACUCCUACGGGAGGCAGCAGCUAAGAAUCUUCCGCAAUGGGCGAAAGCCUGACGGAGCGAUGCCGCGUGAUCGAUGAAGGUCGAGAGAUUGUAAAGAUCUUUUCUACAUGAGGAAUAAGUCUGGGAGGGAAUGCCUGGAUGAUGACGUUAGUGUAGGAAUAAGCCCCGGCUAACUACGUGCCAGCCGCCGCAGUAA